GACAUACUCCCUCCAUCCGGAAAUACUUGUCUAAGAAAUGGAUGUACCUACAUGUAAUUUAGUUCUAGAUACAUCCAUUUUUAUCCAUUUCUUCGACAAGUAUUUCGGGACGGAGGGAGUAUUAU
rfam:Triticum aestivum genome assembly, contig: Triticum_aestivum_CS42_TGACv1_scaffold_624760_7DS